rnacentral:rRNA from 1 species
GAUGAACGCUGGCGGCGUGCCUAAUACAUGCAAGUCGAGCGAAUGGAUUAAGAGCUUGCUCUUAUGAAGUUAGCGGCGGACGGGUGAGUAACACGUGGGUAACCUGCCCAUAAGACUGGGAUAACUCCGGGAAACCGGGGCUAAUACCGGAUAACAUUUUGAACCGCAUGGUUCGAAAUUGAAAGGCGGCUUCGGCUGUCACUUAUGGAUGGACCCGCGUCGCAUUAGCUAGUUGGUGAGGUAACGGCUCAUCAAGGCAACGAUGCGUAGCCGACCUGGGAGGGUGAUCGGCAACACUGGGACUGAGACACGGCCCAGACUCCUACGGGAGGCAGCAGUAGGGAAUCUUCCGCAAUGGACGAAAGUCUGACGGAGCAACGCCGCGUGAGUGAUGAAGGCUUUCGGGUCGUAAAACUCUGUUGUUAGGGAAGAACAAGUGCUAGUUGAAUAAGCUGGCACCUUGACGGUACCUAACCAGAAAGCCACGGCUAACUACGUGCCAGCCGCCGCCGUAA